GCUGGGCAUGGUGGCUCAUGCCUGUAAUUUCAGCACUUUGGGAAGCUGAGGCAGGAGGACUGCUUAAGCCCAGGAAGUUGGGGGUGUAGUGAGCUAUGAUUGUUCCACUGUACUCCAGCCUGGGUGACAGAGCAAGAUCCUGUCUCUU
ensembl:misc_RNA Metazoa_SRP Metazoan signal recognition particle RNA